GAUGAACGCUGGCGGCGUGCCUAAUACAUGCAAGUCGAGCGAACAGACGAGGAGCUUGCUCCUCUGACGUUAGCGGCGGAGGGGUGAGUAACACGUGGAUAACCUACCUAUAAGACUGGGAUAACUUCGGGAAACCGGAGCUAAUACCGGAGAAUAUAUUGAACCGCAUGGUUCAAUAGUGAAAGACGGUUUUGCUGUCACGUAUAGAUGGAUCCGCGCCGCAUUAGCUAGUUGGUAAGGUAACGGCUUACCAAGGCAACGAUGCGUAGCCGACCUGAGAGGGUGAGCGGCCAGACUGGAAGUGAGACACGGCACAGACUCCUACGGAAGGCAGCAGUAGGGAAUCUUGCGCAAUGGGCGAAAGCUUGACGGAGCAACGCCGCGGGAGUGAUGAAGGUCUUCGGAUCGUAAAACUCUGUUAUUAGGGAAGAAAAAAUGUGUAAGUAACUAUGCACGUCUUGAAGGUACCUAAUCAGAAAGCCACGGCUAACUACGUG
rnacentral:rRNA from 1 species